rnacentral:lncRNA from 1 species
GGUGGGGGCAACGGAAGGUGGAAGCAGCACAGAGCCCAGCAGUGCAAUUGAGGCCUGCCCAUGUUCCCCAGGGUCUCCAGGUGAAGAAAUGGGAUUUGAAGAAAAUACCAAAUUUCGCCCCAGGACAUGCAUUGACAGAACUGAUGGAUCCCAAGUUGUGUGUCAAAGUUGAAGCUGCACCCCAGGGCUAUUUGAUUCCCUCCCAGCCUUAUUUCUCCAUAAAAUUGGUAGCUGUUUGCAUACGAUUACAGAUGACAAAAUAAAGAAAGGUUACAGGAUCUGAGACAGCUUUGCCAAGAAACUUGAAAUAUUCGGGGACCCCCUAAUGUCCCAGCAGGCCCCAAGGUGAAGCAGUCACUGUGGCCAAACCUGCUGUGCCAGAUUUAUUCUAAAUUCUGAAACCUCCAUGCUGAGAGGUGGAACUCUGUCUCUUGUUAAAAGUGUCCCAUGUGCUCUUUGUUUUAGAUCCCAGUGCUUUGGAGAUGUUUAGGCUACUGGAUUUUCACCAGCACAGAGAGAACUUCGUAGAAUUGCUAGGAAAUGGAGCCAGCUCUCUAU